rnacentral:rRNA from 1 species
GACGAACGCUGGCGGCGUGCUUAACACAUGCAAGUCGAACGGAAAGGCCCUGCUUUUGUGGGUUGCUCGAGUGGCGAACGGGUGAGUAACACGUGAGUAACCUGCCCUUGACUUUGGGAUAACUUCAGGAAACUGGGGCUAAUACCGGAUAGGAGCUCCUGCUGCAUGGUGGGGGAUGGAAAGUUUCGGCGGUUGGGGAUGGACUCGCGGCUUAUCCGCUUGUUGGUGGGGUAGUGGCGUACCAAGGCUUUGACGGGUAGCCGGCCUGAGAGGGUUACCGGCCACAUUGGGACUGAGAUACGGCCCAGACUCCUACGGGAGGCAGCAGUGGGGAAUAUUGCACAAUGGGCGGAAGCCUGAUGCAGCAACGCCGCGUGCGUGAUGACGGCCUUCGGGUUGUGAACCGCUUUCGCCUGUGACGAAGCGUGAGUGACGGUAAUGGGUAAAGAAGCACCGGCUAACUACGUG